ensembl:lncRNA
AUGUUUUUCUUUGUGAAGAAAAGUGAGACACAGGAGAUUCUGGUGUUUGCCAUAACGUUCAUACCAGCAGUGAAGCACAGAUCUCCAGGCUGUGUUUGCAGUGUGGAAAACGUUUGCCUACAGACUCUGUAUCCUUCUACCAGUGCGUGUUCCUCAGAUAAUCUGCUUGAUACAGAAAUUUCUUCAACCCUCACAGGCAAAAAUCCAUCUGAAGUCAGCAGGAUCUUCUAAGGAAGGACAGCAGUGAAGUCCAGAGCUACAAAUGAGUCAUAGAAUCAUAGAAAGUUUGAGUUGGAAGGGAUCUUAAAGAUCAUCUAGUUCCAACCCUCUGCUAUAGGCAGGGACACCUCCCUCUAGAUCAGGUCACUCAAAGCCCCAUCCAGCCUGGCUUUCAAUGCUUCCAUUGGUGGGGGGCAUUCUGGGCAACCUGUUCCAGUGUCUCACGACCCUCACAGUAAAGAAUUUCUUCCUAAUAUCUAGUCUAAAUCUACCCUCUUCCAGUUUAAAGCCAUUUUGCCUUGUCCUGUCACUACAUGCCCUUAUAAAAAGUCCCUCCCCAGGUUUCCUGUACCCCUUCACGUACUGGAAAUAGACUUAAAUGAUCUCUUGUACUUCCCAAAGCUCCAAAAAAAAAAGUAAAAUUUGGAAUGAGAGUUAUUCCUAGAAAAGUAAAAAGGUGAGUUUUAGAAAGUACCUGUUCUCUUAGAGUAUUAUUGAGGCACAAACACAAGUACAAAAUGCUACAGAUAAUUUGGGGUUAACAAAAGCCAUGAGCCUUACAGGGAAGGAGAUGGAGCUCUCUGAAUGUCCAUCCAGUUACUUCCCUUCUGGCAUAGUCUAGGGGAACAGAUUUGAUGAUAUCUAAUGUUAUCUGUGUCCCAUUACGACUGGUAAAGCUCAUUAAGUGGAUGCUGUGCGAGGCCUUAGGACUGUUUUUCAGUCAGAGAGAUGAAGACUCCUACAGAGACACUCUGGCUGACUUCCCAGGAGCAACUCUGCAGCGUAGCUGAUCUCCCCCAAUACUGGCCUCUACAUUUUUCCAGCAUUUUCUCUUCCCUUCCUUUCCACUGCCUACUCUUCUCGGUUUGGGUUCUGUUAUCUCUAUUAUGUGCUCUCUCACUUUCUCUGCCCAGGGAAUUUCAUCCAUCCCUCUCUCUCCUUUCCUCAUAGCAGCCCCAGAUGAGUGAGGACCUCUUCAAAAACUGGGUCCAUCUGGCACAGGUCUCCCUUCCCGAUGCGGGAAGGAUCUGCCGCUCCAUAUAUGAGUGCUUCCCAAGGUGGUUUACCCCAGGAUACAGAUGGAGGAGCAGCUGCAGGAGGAUUCUGGAGCACACAGCUCUCAUAACUCACCACAUCACAGAAGGAACUUUUAAGAAAAUUGUGGGUCCUAAGGCAAUUUUGUGAGCCCACGGCCCCACCUGCUAAGGAGCUUUAUGGCAGCAGAUGGGGCAUUAUGAUUCCCAUAAGGUUGCAGGGGACCUUCAGAAAUGGGUUUCAAGGCUCUUGUCAUUUUCCUAAAUUACUGAAAAUCCCCAUUCUGCGGCUUGGGGACUAGAUGUAAUUCAACCAGUUUUAAAGUCCUAUGUGUUACCCUGACACCUCCAUUGACCCUGGCAUAGGGAAGAAUGUUUUGGAACUUUUGUUCCUGUUUCGAAGUAUUUGAUCAAUUAAUUAUCUAACAAUAAACAAACACACCUUCACUUGAGCUGAAAGAGU